UAAAAUUAUAAAGGAAGUUUAGUUACAUGUAUAAACUCACAGUCACAAGUGUGUAAGUAUUACUGUUACAUUUAUUUAUAUUUACUAAAAGUAAAUAUAUGCUCACAUAUCAGUAAGUAUUGUACAGCCCUAAAUUAUAUUUAAUACACCCAUCUAGGCAGUUAAUUCAUAUAUGUGCUGGCUUUAAUUUACAUUCAUGUUAUUAUCACCCUGCAAUAGGCGGAGGGAUAUUGUUUUGGCCUUGUCCGCCCGUCUUUCCGUCCAUCCGGCACUUUUGUGUUGGGAGCCAUAUCUUGGAAGUGCUUUGGUGGAUUUCAUUGAAACUUGGUAUGAGUAUAUGUAUAGAUAAGAGGAUGAUGCAUGCCAAAUGGCAUUGUACACUAUCUGUUAAUAACGGAGUUAUGGCCCUUCGAACCUAAAAAAAUGCUUUUUUACCUGAGUGUCAAAUAUAACACUUUUGUGUCCAGAAGCUAAUUAGCGGGGGAUAUCAAUUCAAUGAAUUUGCUUGUUAUUAAUUGAAGGGAAAUAAACCUGUUAUUUUGUCUGUCAUUAUGGUGUUUAAAGUCACAUUUAAUGGCAUCCAACCUACUUUAUUUCAAAUACAGUAACACCUGGCGCCGUGACCUGGAUGCAGAUUCUAAGCAGAUGGGCCAAAAUGGGGGCAGCUAGAGAGACUUGCCUGGAACUGACAAGCCUGGAGGGAGCUGGUUGACUGUUGGCGAGAUGGGACAACAGACGAAGAAUAAACGAACCUACUUGAUUUGAUAAACAUUUUUAUGUUUUUCAGUUUCGUCGGAAGACAUUUCCCACCAACCAUCCUGUCUUGAAAGAAAUAACUUUUGAACCCGAUUAUCUGAUAUUUUCCAGUUUCCCCUCACAACAAUUUGCAUCAAACCUCUUGUCUGGUAAGAAAUUUCCAUUGAAACCAACUGCUGGUAAUACUAUCUUUUUGGUAAUGGGGGCUAUAUAGGAACCACUUUGUCGGUCCGUCA